rnacentral:rRNA from 1 species
UCUACGGGAGGCAGCAGUGAGGAAUAUUGGUCAAUGGGCGCGAGCCUGAACCAGCCAAGUAGCGUGAAGGAUGACUGCCCUCCGGGUUGUAAACUUCUUUUAUCAAGGAAUAAAGUGAGGCACGUGUGCCGUUUUGUAUGUACUUUAUGAAUAAGGAUCGGCUAACUCCGCGCCAGCAGCCGCGGUAAUAUGGAGGAUCCGAGCGUUCUCCGGAUUUCUUGGGUUUAAAGGGAGCGUAGGUGGGUUGUUAAGUAAGCUGGGAAAGUUCGCGGCUCAACCGGGAAAUUGCAAUUGAUACCGGCAGUCUGGAGGACAGUAGAGGAAGGCGGAAUUCGUGGUGUAGCGGUGAAAUGCUUAGAUAUCACGAAGAACUCCGAUUGCGAAGGCAGCUUACU